rnacentral:lncRNA from 1 species
GGUGACAUCUGCACCCUUAGGACAGAACCCACCCUCCCGCCCUCAGUGGUCUGUCUACACUGUGUGAGACCCUUAUCUGAGAGCAGGAACGACCCUCCCAUCUCGGUUUUCACCUGUACUCUGGUGUGCAGACCUAGCUGGAUGCUUUCCACGGUGGGUCAGCUGUUCCUGCGCAGUGGUUCCCCCUGACCCCUGCUGUGCCUGGUCACCUGUUGCGGAGCGGUAGUGGGGUCCACCUGCAUCUGCUCCCGCCUCCUGGGAGAUGGUUGCGUGUGCAUGUGCCUGCGUGCAUGUGCGUGUGUGUAGGCUGUGGUGCCCAUUGUCCCUGGCCCAGAGCUCGUGUAACCUCUGAUGGGGCAGGUCUCUCCCUCCCCAGCCAUACAGGUGUUCAGUCCAGAAGCUGGACCUCAACCGGCUUAGAGAGUGGAGUCACCCUUGGUCUUGGCAUGGGUUUUGGGAACCUGCCCUGAGCCACCCUUGGUCUUGACGUCAGUUUUGGGAACCUGCCCGGAGCCACAUCCUCCUUCCAGGGUGUUCCAGGGUGUGGGGGGUGCACCAGCCCCUGGCUUCUGGGACCUCCUAGUGGUCAGCUGGGCCACAGAGGAGCCUGAAUCUGCCCCUCCAACACCACCUGGCCAGCGCUGUGAGACCAGUGGUCCCUGGUCCCUACUGGGGGGACUCACCGUCAGGCUCUGAGCCUCCCUGGGCGCCGCUGGCCAUCCCCCUUGACCUCAGCUCUGCCCCUGCCAUUGCCAGGCCUUGGAGGGGUAGGUGCAGGGAGUGCAGGCCUGGGUUCAGGUAGAGCUGCUCUGGACCUGCAGCACCACCACCCCCAAAAAGACUGCGCCCCUGUAGGUGUGGGAACCACAACGUGCACCAGGCCAGUAGGAAGCAGAAACUGCAGAGCACCAGGUCCUCUGGAGUGGGGAGAGGGUGGCACCAUGGACUGGCAUGGAGGGGGCAGCCUCCUCUGAGCCCCGUGUCCAGGGGUCAGGGGUGUCCCGGAGUCAGCAGCCAGAACUCUCGCCCCCUCCCCACUCCCGUCCCAUGUGCACCUACUUCCUGGGGCCGCGGAUCUGCCUACCACCCCUGCAGGAGGUGCAGUGCCGGGAUCCCGCCCAUGCGUGUCUAGAGUACCCGGCCCGACACGUCCUCUCCUGGGACCUUCUGCCAGCGAUCGCGGGGCGUCCCAGGGCGGGACCACCCCCCACUGGGGGGCGGGGUAGUUCUUGCGACCGGCACUAACCCGGAGGGACAGCCCCCUUCCCCUCCCCGGCCUCUGGCAGUAAUUACACCCGGCUUGCCCGCAAUAGCAGGGACCUGGGAGGGUUAAUAUCCGAACCACGCGGUGGUUCCGAACCCCGCCCCGCGGUUCUCCCCAACUCCCACCCCCUUCCAGGUUCCUCCCACCCUCCCCCACCCCUUAGGUCUCCGGCCACCUGGCUCCUCCUCCAGCCCCACGUUGUCCUGCGGCGCCCCCGUGUGGCCGCUAAUGGGACGAGCAGUCCUGUGAUGAGGGCGCCGGAAAGGCAUCGCUGUUUAACGUUUAAUUGUGUUGUUAUCAUUGGUUUUUUGUUCCUUUGUUUAUUUUGGCCGCACCCAGGCGUGGGGAAGUUUCUGCUCUAGGGAUAGAACUGGUGCGGUAGUUGCAGCAAAGCUGGUCCUUAACCCUCUGUGCCACAGGGGAACUUUCUUAAUUCUACUGUCUAAUCAGUAAAACCCAACCAACCCCACCCAUCCUCAGCAUCACUAGCAUUGUUUUCACCACUAGUUUAAUUAUAUUUAAUUACUUAACAAUUAAUCCAUCCAUAAGAUGAGAGCUCAGGCAAUAUGCACUCUGAUCUGUGCAUAGCCUCAGGAAACUUCAGGCUCAUGGGCACACGUUCAAAUGUCAAGGGCGAGCCUGGGCAGGUGGCACCCAAGCCCCUUGUGUAGCCUGAAGGACCAGGUUGGGUCUAGUUAAAUAGACCCAUGUUGCAAAGGCUACUUUUGUCUGGAAGUUCUCCAAGAGGACUGUGAUCAGAGAGGUUUUAAAUGUAAUUACUAGUCACACCCAAAGUGUGACCAGUUUCCUGAUUUCUUGCCCUCUGGAAGGUGGCCACAGGGACACAAACCCCUCCUCUCCUCAGGCUGGGGGGAGGGGUGGGGGAGGGGCACGCCUGUUUCCAGGGCAGCUUCCCGGGGACCACAGGCUAGGCUGGGCCAAGGGGCUUCCUCUAGUUGAGACUUAUUAGCUGGUGCCCCCCCGGGGAUACAGGAGGGUGGGUGGAUUUUCAACAAGACACCCUGUCGCGUGGCCGCGCCUGCCCUGCAGGUAUGGCAGGUUGAUGGGGACCCACCGGGUCUGCACCCACUGGCAUCCUGAUCACCAACUAUCCCAUCUCAAGAGCUUUUCAUCCCCUUUUCUCUUAGUUGAAAGAUCAGAGGACAGUUUGUUGACUCUGAUGAAAUGAAAAUCAUAUUUCAUGGCAAGGAGAGAAAAAUUUAAGCAUAAACUUUUUCCUUGCCCGUUUAGGCCUCCUCCCUCCCCUUCAGCGUGUGCUGUGCAUGUGUACAGACCAGACCUCCUCAGGAGAAGCCUUCCUGCUUGAUCUCGCAAAAGGCGCGAGCACCCCUGACCCCCGGUGACCUGUCCCCACCAGUCCCCAUAUACGUGUGGAUGUGGACUUUGUAACUGUCGUGAGUCCAUCAUUUGACUAUAACUCUUUACCUCAAAAACGUUCAAAACUGUGCUCUGACCUCUAAGGGGCAGGACAGAGCUUUCUGACUGUCCACCGUGUGGUAAUCCUCAAGCUGCUUCCCAUAAACUUUUCCAUUCUUUCUCAGAUCCACUAUUAAUUUUUCAUCAACACUCAGGAAACACAUCUGUUUCAUAGUCUAGAUGUUCUCAUCCACAAGGGCAGACUGGCAUUCCCUUCUAGAAAGGUCUACAGCUCUAGUGAGAGAGGGCCUGGUGAGGGUGGGGUCACAGCCAGGGCAGUGGUGAGGGCCCCCCUCAUCAUCAGGGCGGAUCUCCACCUUGAGUGGGCCUGGGGCUUCUGCUGUUUUAUCUCCUGAAGUUUCUUCUCUGUCGUCCAGCAGUGUUGCAAUCUUUACAUAACUACAAAAUGGGCUCUGGGGUGUGGUUUUGAACAAAGUACUGGCAGGAGUUCCCGUCGUGGCUCAGCAGUAAUGAACCUGACUAGUAUCCAUGAGGAUGAGGAUCUGAUCCCUGGCCUCACGCAGUGAGUUAAGAAUCCAGCGUUGCCAUGAGCUGUGGUGUAGGUCACAGAUGCGGCUUGGAUCCCAAGUUGCUGUGGCUCUGGCGUAGGCCGGCAGCUGCAGCUCUGAUUCAACCCCUAGCCUGGGAACCUCCAUAUGCUGCGGGUGCAGCCAAAAAACAAACAAACAAACAAACAAAAUUACUGCUAUAAAACGCUAACCACCAUCUGAACUGCUAGCAAAUCAUAACCUUUUUGCAGGUGGAGGUGCCUCUGUGUCGGUGGCGGCUGACUGACCAGGGAAGUGGCUGCUGAAGAUUGGGUCACAGCGGCAAUUUCUUAAAAAGACAGCAAUGAAGUUGGCUGUAUCAAUAAACUCUUCCUUUCAU